AGGUCAGUGCUGUGCAGCUCUUGGAUCACUGAUUGGCUGGAUUAGAAAAUUCCUGUGCAGCGUUCCUCGCUCCUGGUACUGGUUUGCUUCUAACCAUUCCAGCUGCAUUCGCUUCAGAGACCUUUGGACAACUGGCAUUUCCUUGCACGAAUUAUUUGUGUGGGUGUGUGUUCCCUGACAUCUUAUGAUUUAGAGAGCUCCCUAUGAGUGUAUAAUAAUAAUAACAAUAAUAAUGAUAAUGAUUUAUUAUUUAUACCCCGCCCAUCUGGCUGAGUUUCCCCAGCCACUCUGGGCGGCUCCCAAUCGAGUGUUAAAAACAACAUAGCAUUAAAUAUUAAAAACUUCCCUAAACAGGCUGCCUUCAGAUGUCUUUUAAAGAUAAGAAGACCCUCGGCGCUGGGCUGAAUGAUGGGGGUGGAGACGCUCCUUCAGGUAUACUGGACUGAGGCCGUUUAGGGCUUUAAAGGUCAGCACCAACACUUUGAAUUGUGCUCGGAAACGUACUGGGAGCCAAUGUAGGUCUUUCAAGACCGGUGUUAUGUGGUCUCAGCGGCCACUCCCAGUCACCAGUCUAGCUGCCGCAUUCUGGAUUAGUUGUAGUUUCCGGGUCACCUUCAAAGGUAGCCCCACAUAGAGUGCUAUGCAGUAGUCUAAGCAGGAGAUAAAUAGAGCAUGCACCAUUCUGGCGAGACAGUCUGUGGGCAGGGAGGGUCUCAUCCUGCGUACCAGAUGGAGCUGGUAGACAGCCGCCCUGGACACACAAUUGACCUGUGCCUCCAUGGACAGCUGUGAGUCCAAAAUGACUCCCAGGCUGCGCACCUCGUCCUUCAGGGGCACAGUUACCCCAUUCAGGACCUGGGAGUCCCCCACACCUGCCCGCCCCCUGUCCCCCCAAAACAGUACUUCUGUCUUGUCAGGAUUCAACCUCAAUCUGUUAGCCUGUAAGCAAUGAGCCCACAUCCUUGCAUUGUGCGAUGAGUAAAUACUCACCAGUUCUGUGGAACUACUGAGAAGAACUGGAGAACUAAAGGUAAAUUGGUGCUCUCUGCUGCGAUCCUAACAUCACAGACCUAUUUUCCAGGGACAGUCCUGGAUUUAUAGAAGCCAUCCCGGUUUCUGAUUUGAUUCUGGAAUGUCCCGAUUUCCAUAGGAAAAAUGUUGGAGGAUAUGGAGUUAUGUGACCCCCGAGGAAAGGAAAUAAGUAACUAUACAACUUUUAGAAGAAAUCUGAAGGUAGCCCUGUAUUAGGGCUGGGCAAUAACUGGUUUUCAGUAUCGCGAUGUAUCACCAGCUAAACAUUGCGAUGUAUCAAUAAUAGAGAUGGAGCUACGCGGAGGCGAACAGGACAAUGACAACUGCUACUACUUAAGUGUCUAAAACAGAUAAAUGAUGAUAUUGUCAAUUACCUCAUGGUCACUUUCAGCAGCAGGCAAGCCAAAAUGAAUCCAAAUGAGACAUAUAUAUAUAGUUUAUUAAUUUUUCUGUUUUACAAUUUAAAAUACUCAUUUAAACAUCCUUAAAAUAUCAAUGACUUCCCUUCCUCUCUUUCCACGGUUUAUUUUGCAUAUCUGAAAUCCCUGCAUAUUUUACAUAAACUAAACCAUUCAGUAUACCUUUAUUCCAUCCAUCAAAACUUUAUUUACACUGUUUAAUUUAUCUUACUGCUGCCAAUGUUUUCAAGUGUACACAAUUUCCCCCAUUUAUUCAUAGAAUCAUAGAAUCAUAGAGUUGGAAGAGACCACAAGGGCCAUCGAGUCCAACCCCCUGCCAAGCAGGAAACACCAUCAGAGCACUCCUGACAUAUGGUUGUCAAGCCUCUGCUUAAAGGCCUCCAAAGAAGGAGACUCCACCACACUCCUUGGCAGCAAAUUCCAUUGUCGAACAGCUCUUACUGUCAGGAAGUUCUUCCUAAUGUUUAGGUGGAAUCUUCUUUCUUGUAGUUUGGAUCCAUUGCUCCGUGUCCGCUUCUCUGGAGCAGCAGAAAACAACCUUUCUACCUCUUCUAUGGGACAUCCUUUUAUAUAUUUGAACAUGGCUAUCAUAUCACCCCUUAACCUCCUCUUCUCCAGGCUAAACAUGCCCAGCUCCCUUAGCCGUUCCUCAUAAGGCAUCGUUUCCAGGCCUUUGACCAUUUUGGUUGUCCUCCUCUGGACACGUUCCAGUUUGUCAGUGUCCUUCUUGAACUGUGGUGCCCAGAACUGGACACAGUAGUACUCCAGGUGAGGUCUGACCAGAGUAGAAUACAGUGGCACUAUUACUUCCCUUGAUCUACAUGCUAUACUCCUAUUGAUGCAGCCCAGAAUUGCAGUGGCUUUUUUAGCUGCCGCGUCACACUGUUGGCUCAUGUCAAGUUUGUGGUCAACCAAGACUCCUAGAUCCUUUUCACAUGUACUGCCAGGUGUCACCCAUCUUGUAUUUGUGCCUCUCAUUUUUUUUUGCCCAAGUGCAAUACUUUACAUUUCUCCCUGUUAAAAUUCAUCUUGUUUGUUUUGGCCCAGUUCUCUAAUCUGUCAAGGUCGUUUUGAAGUGUGAUCCUGUCCUCUGGGGUGUUAGCCACCCCUCUCAGUUUGGUGUCAUCUGCAAAUUUGAUCAGGAUGCCCUUGAGUCCAUCAUCCAAGUCAUUGAUAAAGAUGUUGAAUAAGACCGGGCCCAAGACAGAACCCUGUGGCACCCCACUAGUCACUCUUCUCCAGGAUGAAGAGCAACCAUUGAUGAGCACCCUUUGGGUUCGGUCAGUCAGCCAGUUACAAAUCCACUGAGUGGUAGCAUAGUCAAUACCGCAUUUUACCAGCUUCUUUUCAAGAAUAUCAUGGGGCACCUUGUCAAAUGCCUUGCUGAAAUCAAGGUAGGCUACAUCCACUGCGUUCCCUUCAUCUACCAGGCUUGUAAUUCUGUCAAAAACGAGAUCAGGUUAGUCUGACAUGACUUAUUUUUCAGAAAUCCAUGCUGACUAUUGGUGAUCACAGCAUUCCUUUCUAGGUGCUCACAGACUGUUUGCUUAAUGAUCUGCUCCAGAAUCUUCCCUGGUAUUGAUGUCAGACUGACUGGGCGGUAAUUAUUUGGGUCCUCUCUUUUCCCUUUUUGAAAAUAGGGACAACAUUUGCCCUCCUCCAGUCUGCCGGGACUUCGCCUGUUCUCCAGGAAUUCUCAAAGAUGACUGCCAGUGGUUCUGAGAUCACAUCUGCCAGUUCUUUUAAUACUCUUGGAUGCAGUUCAUCUGGCCCUGGAGACUUGAAUACAUCUAGACUAGCCAAGUAUUCUUGUACUAUCUCCUUAGUUAUUCUGGGCUGUGUUUCCUCUGCUGAAUCAUCAUUACCUCUUACCCUCAAUUGCAUCUCAUAUUAUUGUUUCUUAACCUUUGAGCCUUGUUUUCUUAGUUGUAAGUGUUCAAUCAAACCCUCCUAGUGAGUCCAUUUCUUUACAGUAUUUCUGUAGGUAGAACAUGAAGGGUUCCCAGUCUUUUAAAAAACUUUCCUUGUCAUUGUCUCUGAUUCUUCCCGUAAGUUUUGCCAUUUCUGCAUAUUCCAUAAGCUUGGCUUGCCAUUCUUCUUAGGUUGGUAUCUUGUCGUCUUUCCAUUUUGGGGCUGGGAGAAUCCUCAGGUAAAGGUGCUGGGAAAGAUGGAGGGCACAAGGAGAAGGGGACGACAGAGGACGAGAUGGUUGGACAGUGUUGUUGAAGCUACCAGCAUGAGUUUGACCAAACUGCGGGAGGCAGUGGAAGACAGGAGUGCCUGGCGUGCUCUGGUCCAUGGGGUCAUGAAGAGUCGGACACGACUAAACGACUAAACAACAAUCACCAUACUUUGGAUUGUCCCGAAUACCACCAUUUGGUAGCCAAGCCCCAAACCCAAAGUCCUGUUGGGAGGCAUUUUGGCUUGCCUGCUAAUGAAACUGAGUGUGUGAAGAUUGAUAAUAUUGUCAUUUAUCUGUUUUAGACCCCAUGUACUGUAGUAGCAGUUGCCAGGACAUUGUCCUGUUCCCCUCUGUAUAGUUCCAUCCUUAUUACAUUGUGGCAGAUUGCAAUGUUUAGCUGGUGAUCGUAUUGCAAAUCCACACCGUGAUCAACUCCCACCCAGAAACCUAUGUCCCCACUGUGGAAGGAUGUGUGGAUCCAGAAUUGGCCUCCACAGUCACUUACGGACUCGUUGUUAAAACCGUGUUUAUGGAAGACAAUCUUACUCGGCUACGAGUGAUCGCGAAAGAAGAUAUUGCAGUGUUUAGCUGGUGACAUUGUGAGGUUUUAGCUGCUGAUAACAUUGCAACAUUUAGCUGGUGAGUUAUGAUGUUCAGCUGGUGAGUUUCCAUGAUGUUUAGCUGGCGAAUUAUCGCGAUGUUGAAAACCAGAUAUUGCCUAGCCCUUACACACAUUGUGAUUCACAAUGUAUUUAGCCAGCUCAAAUAUUAUGAAACAAUUAUCACGAUGUGAACUUGAAACAAGUUUUGGACGAUAUAUUGAUAUAUCUCCCAGCGCUACCCUGUAUAGGAAAGUUUUUUAAAAAAAUGUUUAAUGUUUUGUUAUGUUUUUAUAUAUGUUGGAAGCCACCCAGAGUGGAUGGGGCAAACCAGUCAGAUGGGCAGAGUAGAAAUAAAAAUAUAAUUAUGGAAUAGGCUGACCCUAUUUUCACUGGAGAAGGAAAAGAAGACCUUCAUAGCUGAUAGCUCAAUAAAAACAUGAAUUCAUUGUGCGCCCAACUGUGGGAAAAGGCAAAUCCUCCAGUAAGGAUUUCACCUGGGGAAGGAACUGAAAAUACAGUGGUACCUCUGGUUACGUACUUAAUUUGUUCCGGAGGUCUGUUCGUAACCUGAAACUGUUCUUAACCUGAGGCACCACUUUAGCUAAUGGGGCCUCCCACUGCUUCCCCUGCGCGAUUUCUGUUCUCAUCUUGAAGCAAAGUUCUUAACCCGAGGUAAUAUUUCUGGGUUAGCGGAGUCUGUAACCUGAAGCAUAUGUAACCACUGUACCGUUAUCAUAAUGUCCUUAUGCAACGCCAUUGUGUGACUGCACUUGGGUUUUUCCUACACAUCUGGUCACCCCAUCUCAAAACAGAAAUUGUGGAGCUGGAAAAGGUACAGAAAAGGACAACUGGAAUUAUCAGGGUGAUUUUUUGUGUGUUUUUGUUUAGAAAAGUGAAUCAGAGGAGGACCUGAUAGAGGUGCAUAAAACUGUGCAUUGUGUAAAGUAAUUGGAGGGACACGAGUGGCGCUGUGGGUUAAACCACAGAGCCUAGGACUUGCUGAUCAGAAGGUCGGCGGUUCGAAUCCCCGCGACGGGGUGAGCUCCCGUUGCUCGGUCCCUGCUCCUGCCCACCUAGCAGUUCGAAAGCAUGUCACAGUGCAAGUAGAUAAAUAGGUACUGCUCCAUCGGGAAGGUAAACGGCGUUUCCGUGCGCUGCUCUGGUUCGCCAGAAGCGGCUUAGUCAUGCUGGCCACAUGACCCGGAAGCUGUACGCCGGCUCCCUCGGCCAAUAAAGCAAGAUGAGCGCCACAACCCCAGAGACGUCCGCGACUGGACCUAAUGGGCAGGGGUCCCUUUACCUUUUUAAAGCAAUUGGAUAGUGGGAAACUUUUCUCCCUCUUUCGUGAUACCAGAACUCCGGAUUAUUCAAUAAAGCUGAGUGUUGCAUGAUUCAGAAUCGACAAAAAGAAAGUACUUUGCCCCACCGUAUUUUAGUUAAACACUCCGUUCCAACAAGAAGUAGUGAUGGCCACCAAUUUAGCUUAAAAGGGGUGUUAUUUCAUGGAGCAUAAGGCGCUCAGUGGCUGCUAAACACUACUACUACUAUUUUUAUUAUCUGUAUUCUGCCCAUCUGACUGGGUUGCCCCAGCUACUCUGGGCGGUUUCCAACAAAAUACGCUACACAGUAAAACAUCAAACAUUUAAAAACUUCCCCAUACAAGGCUGCCUUCAGAUGUCUUCUAAAAAUUGUAUUGUUGUUUAUCUCCCUGACAUCUGGUGGAAGGGCGUUCUACGUUAUUAUUAAUACAAACGCUAAGUGUGUUUAUUAGGAGACAUUUGUAUUGAAAUGCUUAUGAAUUUUCAUGAGAUUGUUAAGUCUGUAAGGCAAAAUGCUACAGAAAUGUAGAGAACUGAAUCUGAGACUGGGAAAAUGAGAAGCAGAGAGAAAUCAAAAUUUACAGAUUCAUCCCCCCCUCUUGGUUAAUAUCCUUUCCCCCCCUUACCUGCAAUGAACUUGUUCCCAUCUGAGGCUUGUGAAGCUUAUCAGCAUUCACGGGAAGAACCAGGUGGAGAGAAAUAAUCAGCCACACGCAAUGAUAUUAUUAAAAUGAACUGUUUAUAUUAUCUCAGUUGAGUCAAUACAGUAUAAUGUAUUAAAAUGGAAAGGUACAAAAUUGAAAUAAAUACUUUCUGAGUCAUGUAUAAAUCUUUUGUCAAGAUGACAUUUUGUUUUUUUGUGUUUUUUGUGUUUGUUUCUUUUUUUCAUCAGUACAUGUUUCAAUAAAACAUUUAAAAUGACAUUUAAAGUAUCAUCUAAAAUAUGGUUUGUGGAAGAAGAGACGCUCAACUCAGACAGAUUUUGGCUUGUUUUGGUAUGAGAUCUUGACAUAAUCUUGGUUCCCCAAAACCACGUAAAUGGUGGUAAAAUAUUAAAUGCUUUAACUCAUUUUAAAAAAAUAAACAGGCUUUACCAAAUCCCCUCUAAUCCUUAACUCAACCACUCUCCUGUGUAUUCUGCCACUUAACGAUAUAUACAUUCAUUAGUGUCCAAGGGAAGACAGCCACUGACUUUCAUUGAAAAUAACUUGGUGGAGAGCAGAAAAAAAAGAUAAAACCCAAUGAACAUUAUGAAGCUGAUGACAACAAUUCACACUUUGCAUUUUUUUAAAAGGACUAGUCUCGGCAGUGCAGAAAAAGAAAUCAAAAGAAAAUUAAAACACCUUACACAUGGAACAGGGAAAGAGGCAUUUAUGGAAGUGAAGGUCUGAAGCAAGAAGCUAUAGUUAGCUAAAUGGAGGGGAUUUUUUUUUUAUCCAAUGAAAGAAGACUCUACCCAGUCAAAAGCUUUUUUUCCAGCCUAAUUGUCGCGUUGCGAUUUUGGGGGGCUGGGGGGAGCAAGGGGGCUAAAGCUAGGAGAGAAGAGUUGCAACAUGUGUGGUGUCCACAAUAAUUCAUCCAGUUUGAGGCUCCCUGGGCCCAAAAUGGUUGGCAGCCCCUGAUUGGUUCCAUGGAAAACAAUUGUUGGAAUUCAGGAUUAGUUAGUGCAUCUUAGUUCCCAAUGAAAUCAGAGGGACUUCAGUAAAGACAGAGCUAACUUCUAUUGAUUUUAGGGGGAGGCUAUGUUAAAUGAAUUAGUUUGAGUAAUUUGAGAAUGGAAUCAAUUCUGACAAGUGGUGGUGGGCUCUAACUCACUGGAGGUCUUCAAGCACAGAGACUGGUCAGUCCCCUACUGGGGAUUGUUGACCUCUGGAUUCCCUGGAUUGAUGUUGAACUAGAUGACCUUGAAAAUCCUUCCAAUGUUAUGAUUCCCACCUGGAUCUAACCCAAUGGUUCUUACCUCCAAGCAAUGAGUGAGAGAUCAAGUGAUGUCAUCCUGUGGGUACCACAUUUCCCCAGAGGUCCAUUUAGCAAGUCCCUAGGGUAUUAGCAUUGUAGCAAACCUACACUUUGGGAUACACUUUCCCCAAGAAAUUAGUAUGGCACUAACAAUUUCUUCUCUUAGGUGCCUCAUUAAGACUUUUUUAAAGCAAUAUUUUCCCCCACCAGCUUUUUUCAAGAUAGUGUUAUUGGAUAAAUAUUGUUCAGGCUGGUUUCACAAAGCAUUCUUAUAGCUUAGACUUCGCAUUUUGUUUUUAUUCAUUUGUGCAGCACCACAAAUAUUUUCAAGUUCUGGGUCUUUAAAAAAAUUCUUAAAAGAAAAUAGAUAAAGCAUUUGGGAUUGAGGUUACAGAUGUGGAGGACAACUUUCACACCAACCUGUAUCAGGGCUUUUUUCUGUUUCCCCAAAUAAGACCACAAUCCUCUUUGUAUCAGAGAAGGCAUUCAUAUGACCGUGUACCUAUCUAUGGGCAUUUCUCAUGGGAUGUAGCAGAAAAACCGGGUUUGUUCCCGAGAGUGAACUCGACUAUACCUGUUUGAUAUGAAUUUCCAAACCUGCAUUUGUCUCACUCACCUGACAUUUUAGAUGUGCAUUUAUCUACCUGCAUGUUCCAAUAAUAGUCAAAGUUUAGGGUCAGUUCAGAUGCUGUUGUGUCUGUUGUUUUCCAGCAUGUUGUAGGUUGUGUGAGCACACAAGUGUGGCUCACAGGAUUUCUGACUGCUCCACUCCUCCCCCCCUUUUAAAUAAGUUGUGGAAAUCAAGCUAUUUGACUCAUGCAUGAAUUCCUGCAUGAAAUUGGGGGGUGGGGUGGUAUGUGCAAUAAACUGUAAUAACACAAGCUUACCAACAUCUGGACCAGCCUGUAGACAGUGAUGGGUUUUAUUGAACAGUGAAGUCUUGGGAGUACAGAAUGCUGAACUAGAUGAGCAGACUGUUCCAAAUGUCCUUAUCUUUCAGAACUUAUUUUGCAGACUUUUAUAUUUCAGCCUCAGCCUGAAGUGUUGUGGGCAGGCAGGCAACACCCUUUUGAAGGACAGUGGCCAAUUUUGAAGGAUAGUGGCCGAUUUGGGAUGUUCAGAUGCUCUGCAUGUGUGCUGAGGUGGCUCUGUGAUUUAGCCCCAGAGGUUCCUGUCCGAUUGUUCCAUGGUGUGGAGGGAUCAAAUCUCAAACUCCGGCCCUCCAUUCUCUUUCAAAAUCGUGCUUUCCUUCACCGUUUACAGUCCUGACUUCCUGCACUUUUAUAUUUUAUAAAUACAAAUAUUUUAUAUUAUAUUUUGAAAACAUCUCAACAACACAUCACAUGUAAUAACUUGUUUACACACUAUUUAAUAACAGAAAAUGAGCAAUCCCUCCUCCCAUCUUACUCCAUGCCAGGGACUGCAGAGUUGUUGUUUUUUUAAGAGCUUGUACACCAUGAUGUGACUUAUUUUGUGAGCCAUAAGUAGAGGCAAGGCUUUUUUCCAGGCAGAACUCACCACUGCCAUUACAAGACAACAAGGGAGGCGCUGAUGGUGAGUUCUGGUACCUCUUUUUCCAGGAAAAUAGCACUGAGCAGGGAAAUCCAUCUAAGCGGCCUGAGGGAAAACUCAAAUCUGAAACGAGUGGGAAAUAAUAUUGGCCUAUCUUAAAGGGCUUUUGCAUGAACUACUGGUUGGGCAUUUGAAAGAGUCGUCAUUAUUACUAUUUAUCUUGCAGGACGGAAGCUCAGCAACUGCUUAACCGCACCACACAUUCUCAGGAUGUGAUAACUUUUGGUAGAUGCAGCACCGAACUGCUCCAGUUACCUGAAUUUCACCAGGG